rnacentral:lncRNA from 1 species
CUACGUAUAAUAUGCUCACAAACUAUAAGCUAGCAACAUGAACGCAAGAGCAGCUGGCUAGCUAGCACGACAUGAACGCAAGCUCGAUCGAUCAGUUGGCCGGCGAGAGCGACCCAAGUAAGUAUUAUGGGCAAUUUUAUAUUACCACCCUCGAUAAAGUAAACGAGAGGUUUCAUAUUUUUCUAUAUAAAAUUUGAAAGAUAAUUUUAUCAUCCUUUAUAAAGUAUCCCGACAUAUCAAAAUUUAUAUUCAAAUUUUUUUGUUACUGAAGGUAUCAAAUUUUAUCCUAGAGAAUACAAUACUUCUCUUACAUUUUCAUGGAUGGUAAAAUAUCUUCAAUUACUAUAUACCUUAAAAUUAUCCCAAUUUUGAAUGUAAAUCUUGUGAACUAGAGCUGAUUUUACAGAGGUGAUAAAAUUAUCCAGGUUAUAUACAUUCGUUGCGUCGGAAAUUACUCUGGUUGGACUUGGACCUCAACUUUUGACAUGGGUCCUAAAAAUUCCUAGAAAUAUGCAUAAAUAUUAUGGCCAACUACAUUCAUACAUCGUUUUAAAAUUCCAAUUGUGAUCUUCCACAUUUUUUAUAUAUAACUUUAUGAUUUUCGUUUUUGGAAACUAAAGUUUACGUUUGCCCUCAUUCGGUUAAGAGGACUUAACAAUGUGAAAACUCAUAUUGAAAAUAGGAGUUGAAUUCAUGUCAAGUUUGUGCUCGUCCUGAUUUCUUAACUGAAUAUGUGAAAAAUUAUGUCAAGAUGGAGGCAAGAUUAAUUUAAAAAUGUUUUUUUAGGUUAAAUAGAAGACACACACCACACUCGUACACCCGCGAAAAUGCCGCCAUAACACGUGUUCAAAGAGAUGGAAGACAACUGCAAAUUCUUGACUUCACUAAUUUCUAUUGAUAGUGCAACCACAUAUACGUAAUACUAUGGACUCUAUAAUUUAAACCUUAAGUCGACUUCACCACGGAAGCAAUUUUUUAGUACAUACGUAGAUGUCCACCAUGUCAUCUAAAUAGUCAUGAAAAUAUAAAAAAAAUUAAUAAGAUAGAUUAAUAUGAGUUAUAUCACCUCAUAAACAUGCAAGUUCAAAUCCAACUUCACAUGUUGUAACAAAAAAUAGUUAUGAAUGUGUGUAUACUAGUUUCAGUUUAAUUUAUUUUUUUGCUAUAACUUAUAGAAAUUGAAUUUAAAAUUACAUGUCUGUGAAGUGAUACAACUUAUAUUAAUCUAUCUUGUUAAUCUUUUCUAUAUUUUUAUGACUAUUUAGAUGAUAUGCAAGCAUACGGGUAGAUGUUUAGGUAUUUCAUGAAAAAAACCAAAAGAUAUAUUUGCAAAUAAAAUAUAGUUUGUGAAUAAAAAUUUUAUAUACAUAUUUUAGCGAUCUAAAAUUCAAUGCUGAAAAAUAAAAUUUGGUGAAAAACCCCAAAAUCAACUCCAAUUAGGGUUAAAAAUUCAAAUUUUGGCUUAUAAGCAUAAGCAUAAGCGGAAGAUGGGAGUAUUACAACUGAAACCAGUGAAAAUUAGACAAUUUUGUUAUAAUAUAUGUUGAAUUUCAAAUAAAUAUUUUAAAGUUGGCCCAUUUACCAAGCAGUUUUUCUCAAUUCAUACAGGUUCUAUAAAGCCAACAACCGCAAUAAUCGAGCAGUUAACGUCAUAUUUUCAAACACUGCUUUCAAACAAGUUUGCACCCAAGAACUUCCUUGAAUUAAAUUUGAGUAUAUCGCAGUGGAUCAUGGAAAUCUUGUUUUGCCUAAGCUGAUUUUUCAUAUUUGGUAUAUAGUAUCUAAACUUAUCUCCUGCUUUUUUUUUUUGAAACACUAUGUUCCAGUCAAAUCGAUCUAUUCUCGCGCCUAG